rnacentral:misc_RNA from 1 species
GUGAGUCAUCGAAUCUUUGAACGCAUAUUGCGCCCUCUGGUAUUCCGGAGGGCAUGCCUGUCCGAGCGUCAUUACUACCUUCAAGCACGGCUUGGUUGUUGGGCCUAUUUGUCCUCUGAUGGACAGGCCUGAAACGCAGUGGCGAUGCCAUCUUGGUGCCCCAGCGUAUGGAGCUUCGUCACACGCUUUGGUGGCCCGACCGGCAUUCUGUCAAACCCUAAAAAUUUACCUAAGAUUUGACCUCGGAUCAGGUAAGAAUACCCGCUGAACUUAAGCAUAUCAAUAAGCGGAGGA